rnacentral:rRNA from 1 species
GACGAACGCUGGCGGCGUGCUUAACACAUGCAAGUCGAACGGAAAGGCCCUGCUUUUGUGGGGUGCUCGAGUGGCGAACGGGUGAGUAACACGUGAGUAACCUGCCCUUGACUUUGGGACAACUUCAGGAAACUGGGGCUAAUACCGCAUAGGAGCUCCCGCUGCACGGUGGGGGUUGGAAAGUUUCGGCGGUUGGGGAUGGACUCGCGGCUUAUCAGCCUGUUGGUGGGGUCGGGGCUUACCAAGGCCUUGACGGGUAGCCGGCCUGAGGGGGGGACCGGCCACAUUGGGGCUGGGAUACGGCCCAGAGUGCUACGGGAGGCAGCGGUGGGGAGUGUUGCGGAAUGGGGGGAAGCCUGAGGCAGCAACGCCGGGUGGGGGAUGACGGCCUUCGGGUUGGAAACCGCUUUCGCCUGUGACGAAGCGUGAGUGACGGUAAUGGGUAAAGAAGCACCGGCUAACUACGUG